rnacentral:rRNA from 1 species
UACGGAGGGUGCAAGCAUUAAUCGGAAUUAUUGGGCGUAAAGGGCGCGUAGGCGGAUAUAUAAGUCAGAUGUGAAAUUUCGAGGCUCAACUUCGAAGCUGCAUUUGAAACUAUAAAUCUCGAGGAUUGGCGGAGAGAACGGAAUUCCACGUGUAGCGGUGAAAUGCGUAGAUAUGUGGAAGAACACCGGUGGCGAAAGCGGUUCUCUAGCUUAUACCUGACGCUGAGGCGCGAGAGCAAGGGGAGCAAAC